rnacentral:rRNA from 1 species
UACGUAGGGGGCAAGCGUUGUCCGGAAUCAUUGGGCGUAAAGCGCGUGUAGGCGGCUUGGUAAGUCUGCUCUGAAAGCCCGGGGCUCAACCCUGGGAGGCGGGUGGAUACUGCCGAGCUCGAGUCCGGAAGAGGCGAGUGGAAUUCCUGGUGUAGCGGUGAAAUGCGCAGAUAUCAGGAGGAACACCAAUGGCGAAGGCAGCUCGCUGGGACGGUACUGACGCUGAGACGCGAAAGCGUGGGGAGCAAACAGG